CACGAACGCUGGCGGCAGGCUUAACACAUGCAAGUCGAGCGCCCCGCAAGGGGAGCGGCAGACGGGUGAGUAACGCGUGGGAAUCUACCCAUCACUACGGAACAACUCCGGGAAACUGGAGCUAAUACCGUAUACGUCCUUCGGGAGAAAGAUUUAUCGGUGAUGGAUGAGCCCGCGUUGGAUUAGCUAGUUGGUGGGGUAAUGGCCCACCAAGGCGACGAUCCAUAGCUGGUCUGGGAGGAUGAUCAGCCACACUGGGACUGAGACACGGCCCAGACUCCUACGGGAGGCAGCAGUGGGGAAUAUUGGACAAUGGGCGCAAGCCUGAUCCAGCCAUGCCGCGUGAGUGAUGAAGGCCCUAGGGUUGUAAAGCUCUUUCACCGGUGAAGAUAAUGACGGUAACCGGAGAAGAAGCCCCGGCUAACUUCGUGCCAGCAGCCGCGGUAAAAC
rnacentral:rRNA from 1 species